rnacentral:lncRNA from 1 species
UCACAGCAACAUCGAGACUAGUAUUUGAUCAAAAAACCGGGCACCUUAGCCUAGACAAAUUGAUACAUAAAAUUAACCAUCACAAAGAUGCUAUAUGAUUUUUUGCACAUGACUCAAGAGUUCUAAAACCUGGGAGUUCUCAUUGUGGCUCAGCGGGUUAGGAACCUGACUAGUAUACAUGAGGAUGGGGGUUUGCUCCCUGGCCUCUCUCAUUGUUGUUGCUGCAGUCUACAGUGUUGGUCACAAAAUGCAGCUAGGAUCUGGUGUUGCUGUGGCUGUGGUGUAGGCUGGCAACUACUGCUCUGAUUCAACUCUUAGCCUGGGAACUCCAUAUGCUGCAGAUAUGACCCUAAAAGAUUAAAAAAAAAAAAAAGAGUUCUAAAAACUGAAUGACAUUAAUAUAGCAAAACUUGUAUUCCUAAAGUGAGAGCUGAAUUGAUAUUUAACUCUGACUUUUUCUAACAAUAACUAAUAUUCAACCAUGCCUACAUGAGGUAAUUUGUAAAAAAUUUCCAUCUAUCUCCCUAAAAAUUCAUUUUCUUAAUAAUUACAUGUCAAAAUGUAUAAUAUAUAUUUGUACUGUUUAAUUCAAUUGUGUACUCCUAACAGUAAUAAAAAAACUCAUUUCAAAGAAUCUUCAAUAGUUAGACUCUUAUGGACACAAAUAUUUAACAAAUGAUCUCCAAAUGAGUAUACAUAAUUUUACUACAGAGUAAUCUGAUGAUUAAGAAAAGGUUUUUAAGCAUAAAAUUAUAUUAAGUUAGAGUAAAAUUCUUUUCCCUAUUAACAGCUAAUUUUUAUUUUUAUUUUUGUUUUUUAAAUUUAUUUUUUAUUGAUAUUUCCCCCAACAAAUUUUUUUUUCCACUAUACAGCAUGGGGACCCAUUACACAUACAUGAUAAAUAAUUCUUUUUUUCACAUUAUCAUGCUCCAUCAUAAGUGACUAGAUAUAGUUCCCAGUGUUCUACAGCAGGAUCUCAUUGCUUAUCCAUUCCAAAGGCAAUAGUCUGCAUCUAUUAACCCCAAGUUCCCAAUCCAUCCCACUCCCUCCGCCUCCCCUUUGGCAACCACGAGUCUAUUCUCUUAGCAGAUAGUAAAGAAAAAAAUAUUAGAAGACAAGUCUCAUAUGUCUUGAGAACACAAAAGACAUUUCCAUCUAAAAAUAAAUUUGUACUAAACAAAGGAAACUUUUCAAGUUCUCAGCUCUACACAAUAUAUUGCUUAAAUGGGACUGAACCUUAGAUGUCAUCUGAUUCCAUUCCAUUGUUACAACUGAGGAAAUUAGUCCCCAAAAAGGUAAUAAGAGUAUCUCCACCUCCUCCAAUGUCUGAUUACAUCAUGAUGUAGAGAUGUCUUGAGAAGGGAAUUAGGCACAUCAUCUUGUUCUGAGAAAAAUAUGAGGCAAAUAUACAGCCUC